GUGUCAGCAGCCGCGGUAAUACGGAGGAUGCAAGCGUUAUCCGGAUUUAUUGGGUUUAAAGGGUGCGCAGGUGGUUUAAUAAGUCAGUGGUGAAAGUCUGUCGCUUAACGGUAGGAUUGCCAUUGAUACUGUUAGACUUGAAUAUGGGUGAGGUAAGUGGAAUGUGUAGUGUAGCGGUGAAAUGCAUAGAUAUUACACAGAACACCGAUUGCGAAGGCAGCUUACUAAUCCAUUAUUGACGCUGAGGCACGAAAGCGUGGGGAUCAAACAGGAUUAGAUACCCUGGUAGUCCACGCUGUAAACGAUGAUCACUCGCUGUUUGCGAUAUACAGUAAGCGGCUAAGCGAAAGCGUUAAGUGAUCCACCUGGGGAGUACGAUCGCAAGGUUGAAACUCAAAUGAAUUGGCGG
rnacentral:rRNA from 1 species